UACAGAGGGGGCAAGCGUUAUUCGGAAUUAUUGGGCGUAAAGAGCGCGCAGGCGGUCGAUCAAGUCGAGUGUGAAAGCCCCCGGCUCAACUGGGGAGGGUCAUUCGAUACUGAUCGACUCGAAGGCAGGAGAGGGUAGUGGAAUUCCCGGUGUAGAGGUGAAAUUCGUAGAGAUCGGGAGGAACACCAGUGGCGAAGGCGGCUACCUGGCUGA
rnacentral:rRNA from 1 species